UUAAGUUAAUAAGGGCGCACGGUGGAUGCCUUGGCACUAGAAGCCGAUGAAGGACGUGACUAACGACGAAAUGCUUUGGGGAGCUGUAAGUGAGCAAUGAUCCAGAGAUGUCCGAAUGGGGGAACCCGGCAUGUAAUGCAUGUCACUCAUUACUGUUAAGGUAAUGAAGAGGAAGACGCAGUGAACUGAAACAUCUAAGUAGCUGCAGGAAGAGAAAGCAAACGCGAUUGCCUUAGUAGCGGCGAGCGAAAUGGCAAGAGGGCAAACCGAUGUGUUUACACAUCGGGGUUGUAGGACUGCGACGUGGGACGACAAGAUUAUAGAAGAAUUACCUGGGAAGGUAAGCCAAAGAGAGUAACAGCCUCGUAUUCGAAAUAGUCUUUAACCCUAGCAGUAUCCUGAGUACGGCGAGACACGAGAAAUCUCGUCGGAAUCUGGGAGGACCAUCUCCUAACCCUAAAUACUCUCUAGUGACCGAUAGUGAACCAGUACCGUGAGGGAAAGGUGAAAAGCACCCCGGGAGGGGAGUGAAAUAGAACCUGAAACCGUGUGCCUACAACAAGUUCGAGCCCGUUAAUGGGUGAGAGCGUGCCUUUUGUAGAAUGAACCGGCGAGUUACGAUAUGAUGCGAGGUUAAGUUGAAGAGACGGAGCCGUAGGGAAACCGAGUCUUAAUAGGGCGCAUUAGUAUCAUGUCGUAGACCCGAAACCAUGUGACCUACCCAUGAGCAGGGUGAAGGUGAGGUAAAACUCACUGGAGGCCCGAACCAGGGCACGUUGAAAAGUGCUUGGAUGACUUGUGGGUAGCGGAGAAAUUCCAAACGAACUUGGAGAUAGCUGGUUCUCUCCGAAAUAGCUUUAGGGCUAGCGUCGAUGUUAAGUCUCUUGGAGGUAGAGCACUGUUUGAUUGAGGGGUCCAUCCCGGAUUACCAAUAUCAGAUAAACUCCGAAUGCCAAUGAGAUAUAAUCGGCAGUCAGACUGCGAGUGCUAAGAUCCGUAGUCGAAAGGGAAACAGCCCAGACCACCAGCUAAGGUCCCAAAAUAUAUGUUAAGUGGAAAAGGAUGUGGGGUUGCACAGACAACUAGGAUGUUAGCUUAGAAGCAGCUAUUCAUUCAAAGAGUGCGUAAUAGCUCACUAGUCGAGUGACCCUGCGCCGAAAAUGUACCGGGGCUAAAACAUAUUACCGAAGCUGUGGAUACCUUUAUAGGUAUGGUAGGAGAGCGUUCUAUGUGUGAAGAAGGUGUACCGUGAGGAGCGCUGGAACGCAUAGAAGUGAGAAUGCCGGUAUGAGUAGCGAAAGACAGGUGAGAAUCCUGUCCACCGUAUGACUAAGGUUUCCAGGGGAAGGCUCGUCCUCCCUGGGUUAGUCGGGACCUAAGGAGAGACCGAAAGGUGUAUCCGAUGGACAACAGGUUGAUAUUCCUGUACUAGAGUAUAUAGUGAUGGAGGGACGCAGUAGGCUAACUAAAGCGUGCGAUUGGAAGUGCACGUCUAAGCAGUGAGGUGUGAUAUGAGUCAAAUACUUAUAUCUUUAACAUUGAGCUGUGAUGGGGAGCGAAGUUAAGUAGCGAAGUUAGUGAUGUCACACUGCCAAGAAAAGCUUCUAGCGUUAAUUAUACUCUACCCGUACCGCAAACCGACACAGGUAGUCGAGGCGAGUAGCCUCAGGUGAGCGAGAGAACUCUCGUUAAGGAACUCGGCAAAAUGGCCCCGUAACUUCGGGAGAAGGGGCGCUGGCUUUAAGUCAGCCGCAGUGAAUAGGCCCAAGCAACUGUUUAUCAAAAACACAGCUCUCUGCUAAAUCGUAAGAUGAUGUAUAGGGGGUGACGCCUGCCCGGUGCUGGAAGGUUAAGAGGAGCGCUUAGCAUUAGCGAAGGUGUGAAUUGAAGCCCCAGUAAACGGCGGCCGUAACUAUAACGGUCCUAAGGUAGCGAAAUUCCUUGUCGGGUAAGUUCCGACCCGCACGAAAGGCGUAAUGAUUUGGGCACUGUCUCAACGAGAGACUCGGUGAAAUUUUAGUACCUGUGAAGAUGCAGGUUACCCGCGACAGGACGGAAAGACCCCAUGGAGCUUUACUGCAGUUUGAUAUUGAGUAUCUGUACCACAUGUACAGGAUAGGUAGGAGCCUAUGAAAUCGGGACGCUAGUUUCGGUGGAGGCGUUGUUGGGAUACUACCCUUGUGUUAUGGCUGUCUCUUAUACACAUCUG
rnacentral:rRNA from 1 species